rnacentral:rRNA from 1 species
UACAGAGGGUGCAAGCGUUGUUCGGAAUUACUGGGCGUAAAGAGCGCGCAGGCGGUCGUUCAAGUCGAGUGUGAAAGCCCCCGGCUCAACUGGGGAGGGUCAUUCGAUACUGAUCGACUCGAAGGCAGGAGAGGGUAGUGGAAUUCCCGGUGUAGUGGUGAAAUGCGUAGAUAUCGGGAGGAACACCAGUGGCGAAGGCGACUACCUGGCCUGUUCUUGACGCUGAGGCGCGAAAGCUAGGGGAGCAAACGGG